AAAAAUUAAAUUAUAGAUGCUCGUAUAAACUCUUGGAUAUGGCAAGAGUGUUUCUACCAUGUGACCGUAAAUCACAAUAGGCUACGGGUGGAAGUGCACCUUAG
rnacentral:ncRNA from 2 species